rnacentral:rRNA from 1 species
AGGGUUUGAUUAUGGCUCAGAACGUGCGCUGGCGGCACGCCUAACACAUGCAAGUCGAACGAAGUAGCAAUACUUAGUGGCAGACGGGUGAGUAACAUGUAGGUAUCUGCCCUUUGGCCUGGAAUAACACGAGGAAACUUGUGCUAAUACCGGAUAAGUCUUUACGGAGAAAGCUUUAUGCACCAUUGGAUGAGCCUGCACUUGAUUAGUUUGUUGGUGGGGUAAUGGCCUACCAAGACUGUGAUCAAUAGCUGAUUUGAGAGGAUGAUCAGCCACAUUGGGACUGAGACACGGCCCAAACUCCUACGGGAGGCAGCAGUGGGGAAUCUUGCACAAUGGAGGAAACUCUGAUGCAGCGAUGCCGCGUGAGUGAAGAAGGCCCUUGGGUUGUAAAGCUCUUUCGUCGGGGAAGAAAAUGACUGUACCCGGAUAAGAAGGUCCGGCUAACUUCGUGCCAGCCGCCGCGGUAAUUC